AUACGUAGGGGGCGAGCGUUGUCCGGAAUGAUUGGGCGUAAAGGGCGCGUAGGCGGCCCGGUAAGUCUGGAGUGAAAGUCCUGCUUUUAAGGUGGGAAUUGCUUUGGAUACUGUCGGGCUUGAGUGCAGGAGAGGUAAGUGGAAUUCCCAGUGUAGCGGUGAAAUGCGUAGAGAUUGGGAGGAACACCAGUGGCGAAGGCGACUUACUGGACUGUAACUGACGCUGAGGCGCGAAAGUGUGGGGAGCAAACAGGAUUAGAUACCCUGGUAGUCCACACUGUAAACGAUGAAUGCUAGGUGUAGGGGGUAUCGACCCCUUCUGUGCCGCAGUCAACACAAUAAGCAUUCCGCCUGGGGAGUACGGCCGCAAGGUUGAAACUCAAAGGAAUUGACGGGG
rnacentral:rRNA from 1 species